rnacentral:rRNA from 1 species
UACGUAGGUGACAAGCGUUGUCCGGAUUUACUGGGCGUAAAGAGCGCGCAGGCGGUCGUUCAAGUCGAGUGUGAAAGCCCCCGGCUCAACUGGGGAGGGUCAUUCGAUACUGAUCGACUCGAAGGCAGGAGAGGGAAGUGGAAUUCCCGGUGUAGUGGUGAAAUGCGUAGAUAUCGGGAGGAACACCAGUGGCGAAGGCGACUUCCUGGCCGGUUCUUGACGCUGAGGCGCGAAAGCUAGGGGAGCAAACGGG